AUUGAACGCUGGCGGAAUGCUUUACACAUGCAAGUCGAACGGUAGAGGGGGCAACCCCUCGAGAGUGGCGAACGGGUGAGUAAUAUAUCGGAACGCGCCCAGUCGUGGGGGAUAACGUAGCGAAAGUUACGCUAAUACCGCAUACGAUCUACGGAUGAAAGCGGGGGAUCGCAAGACCUCGCGCGAUUGGAGCGGCCGAUAUCAGAUUAGGUAGUUGGUGGGGUAAAGGCUCACCAAGCCAACGAUCUGUAGCUGGUCUGAGAGGACGACCAGCCACACUGGAACUGAGACACGGUCCAGACUCCUACGGGAGGCAGCAGUGGGGAAUUUUGGACAAUGGACGCAAGUCUGAUCCAGCCAUUCCGCGUGCAGGAAGAAGGCCCUCGGGUUGUAAACUGCUUUUGUACGGAACGAAAAGGUUUCCAUUAAUACUGGGAGCUCAUGACGGUACCGUAAGAAUAAGCACCGGCUAACUACGUGCCAGCCGCCGCAGUAA
rnacentral:rRNA from 1 species